ACGGCGGGGCAGGAGGAGGGCCGCGCGGAGCAUCGACAAUGAACCCGCACCAGAGGGAAUGCUCCUACUGUACAAGUGUGUGGCUGAAGAGGACGUUGCACGCUGGACCCUCUGAAAUGAAGCAAACGCUUGAAGAGUUGAGUGAGCGAGGUGUGCCAGGCCCCCACCAUAGGUACCCAUGGAGAUCUCCGGACUGAAAUAUUCAUUCUUGUUUGCUCGCCCAGACAGUGUGGUCCUAAUUGCAGCAUCAGAAAGCUCCACCUCUCCCUCUCGUCUGGUUUGGCUGCAGCGGAGACAAUCCUCACCUGGGAGCAGGAUGCCUGUGGUGUGUGUGUGAGGCUCUGGAGUUUUUCAUCAGUUCCUGUGCCAACCCAACCCGUGCCUGGCCAAGCUGAACCAUCUUGUGGGAUUUUUGGCUUUUAAUUAUAGUAAGAGAGGAUUAAUUAUGGCAGUGGAAACAAGGGGCCAUGCAUUAUUGAUGCUAUGAGUGAAAGGCUGGAGGGGGUAGAGGGUGCUAA